AGCUUAUUCUCUGGUUUGUUGUUUCAGGGCUCAGUGAUGUUUAGGGAUGUGGCAGUAGCCUUCUCAGGACGAGUGGGGCCAGCCAGAUCCUGCUAGGAAGGAUUUGUACAGGGACGUGACACUGGAGAACUUCAGCAACUUCAUCUCUAGGUUCUUCUAUUUCCAGGCCAGAUGUGAUCUCCUUAUCGGAACAAGGGAAAGAACCCUUGGGGGCACAAAGAGAUGUGACAGGAAGCCUGUGCCCAGCUGAGUGAAGGAUCAUUAAGAAGGGCAGUGGCGCUGUAGAUCAUUUAUCCUCAUGGGAGAAAAUGGAAAAAGUUAUAAACAAAGAUCCUGAGGACCCCAUGUUCCAGAAUGACUGGGAAUAUAAAGGCAUAUUUGAGAGACAUCAAAGAAAUGAGGAAGGAAAUUCCAGUCAAGUGAUAAUCACCCAGGAAGAGUAUCUACUGUGAGACAGCAAACUUCCCAUAACCUGCAUCAGAAAGUUCCACCUGGAAGUAGGCCCUAUGCAUAAUGAAUGUAGAGAAGGGUUUCAGCAGAAGACAUCCCUUCUAAGUCACCAGAAAAUGUAUACUGCUGACUGAUCUGAGGAAUGCAAGCAACAUGGGAAGGCUUUCUCCAUCACCGUUCUGAUCCCCCUCAACAUCAUAGAACUCACACUGGGAAAGACCCCGUGAAUGUAAAGAAUGUGGAAGGGCCUUUAGUCCUAUUUCCCUCUUUACCCAACACCAGAGAAUUCCUACUGGUGAGAAAACCUAUGAAUGUAAGGAGUAUCAAAAAAACUAUAUUCAGCUCUCAAAACUUAAUGCACAUCAUAGAAUGCAUACUAGGGGAAAAUUCUAUCAACAUACUGAAUGUGCAAAAACUUGUCACUAUUCAACAUCAGAGAAUUCAUACUGGAGAAAACCCUAUGACUGUAAGGAAUGUGGAAGGCCUUUAGAGGUAUCACACAACUUCAUGAACAUCAAAGAAUAUAUACCAGGGAGAAGCCAUACAAAUGUAAUGAAUGUGGAAAGGCCUUCGGUCAUCAGUCAUAUCUUCCUCAAUAUCAGAGGAUCCAUACUGGUGAGGCACCUUAUAAACGUAAGGUUUGUGGGAAGGCCUUUAGGCAGGGCUCAAAGCUUUAUCAUCACCAGAAAAUUUAUACUAAGUGAGAAAUCAUAUAAAUGUAAUGGAAGCUUUUGGUCGAAUUUCAUAAUUUAAUGAGCACUAGCACCCUUACUGGUGAGAACCUUUCUCACUGUACUGAAUGUGGAAAAGCUUUUAGUCACUUAACACUAGUUAUUCGACAUUAGAAAAUUCAUACUGGUGAAAAUCACUAUGAAUGUCAGGAAUGUGGGAAAACCUUUAGUCAGGGUUCACAACUUACUCAACAUUAUUUGUUAUGUAUGUAGUAAUGUGGGAAGGCCUUCAAGACACAGUCAUCUUUCUUAGUCUUAAGGAAUUCAUGCCAUAGAAACUUCCUAUAAAUAAGUGAAGGAAAUAUUUCACUGGUCUUGUCCCUGAAAGAACAUCAAAUAAUUUAUUAUUACGUAUAACCUUGUCCAAUAUGGAAAUGCUUUAUCUUUCAGCUCAUGUUGCAUUUAUCAGCAGAUUCACAUCAUUACGUCAUCACUAAAGACCAUAUUAGUAUGGUAACGUAGAAGAGCUCCCCCUACUACCUAUCAAUUAUUAAUUAUUUUACAAUUCAUGAUGGCAAACAACCAUGCAAGUGGAGAAUUUUGAAAACCCAUUACCGUAAGCUAAUCCUAAUUUACAGAAAAGGAUGCAGAAGAGAAAGUAACGCUUUAUAUGUCACAUAUAUGGGAAUUUCUUUAGCCAUAAGGCUCUUUUAAUGAGAAGAUUCAUACUGAUGAAUAUAAGUUUUAAAACCC